rnacentral:rRNA from 1 species
AGUGGGGAAUUUUGGACAAUGGGCGCAAGCCUGAUCCAGCAAUGCCGCGUGAGUGAAGAAGGCCUUCGGGUUGUAAAGCUCUUUUGUCAGGGAAGAAACGGCCGCGGCUAAUAUCCGCGGCUAAUGACGGUACCUGAAGAAUAAGCACCGGCUAACUACGUGCCAGCAGCCGCGGUAAUACGUAGGGUGCAAGCGUUAAUCGGAAUUACUGGGCGUAAAGCGUGCGCAGGCGGUUUUGUAAGUCUGACGUGAAAUUCCCGGGCUCAACCUGGGAAUUGCGUUGGAGACUGCAAGGCUGGAGUCUGGCAGAGGGGGGUAGAAUUCCACGUGUAGCAGUGAAAUGCGUAGAGAUGUGGAGGAACACCGAUGGCGAAGGCAGCCCCCUGGGCCAAGACUGACGCUCAUGCACGAAAGCGUGGGGAGCAAACAGAAUUAGAUACCCUGGUAGUCCACGCCCUAAACGAUGUCUACUAGUUGUCGGGUCUUAAUUGACUUGGUAACGCAGCUAACGCGUGAAGUAGACCGCCUGGGGAGUACGGUCGCAAGAUUAAAACUCAAAGGAA